UAGGGAAUCUUCCGCAAUGGACGAAAGUCUGACGGAGCGACGCCGCGUGAGUGAUGAAGGUCUUCGGAUCGUAAAACUCUGUUGUUAGGGAAGAAUAAGUAUAAGGCGAAUAACCUUAUACCUUGACGGUACCUAACCAGAAAGCCCCGGCUAACUACGUGCCAGCAGCCGCGGUAAUACGUAGGGGGCGAGCGUUGUCCGGAAUUAUUGGGCGUAAAGGGUGCGUAGGCGGUCUCUUAAGUCUGAUGUGAAAGCCCACGGCUUAACCGUGGAGGGUCAUUGGAAACUGGGAGACUUGAGUGCAGAAGAGGAGAGUGGAAUUCCAUGUGUAGCGGUGAAAUGCGUAGAGAUAUGGAGGAACACCAGUGGCGAAGGCGACUCUCUGGUCUGUAACUGACGCUGAGGCACGAAAGCGUGGGGAGCAAACAGG
rnacentral:rRNA from 1 species